rnacentral:lncRNA from 1 species
UAUAGUAGGUCCUUACUUUCAAUAUUUUAGCUCAAGUUCUAUAUUCUUUAACCAGUCUAGAUUAGCAACUUAUACUAAGCAAGCAUAGUUUCCAAGCAAUUAAAGAACAAGCAUCAAGAUUAAUAUCAUCAUCAUGUUCCAUCUUUACUCAGUGCAGAAUAGCGAUCAAGCAGUCCCAAACUGUGAGAGGCAGACGAAUCGAUUCGAAUUUAUUAACCAUGCAUGGCG